AAUACCAGAUAAUGUCUUCGGGACAAAGAUUAUCGGCAUUGGAGCGGCCUAUCUCCUAUCAGCUUGUUGGUGAGGUAACGGCUCACCAAGGCAACGACGGGUAGCGGGACUGAGAGGUUGGCCCGCCACAUCGGGACUGAGACACUGCCCGGACCUCCACGGAGGGCUGCAGUAACGGAUAUUGGGCAAUGGGCGAAAGCCUGACCCAGCAAUGCCGCGUGCAGGAUGAAGCCCCUAGGGGUGUAAACUGCUGUCAGGGGUCAGAAAGCUGGUUUCGGCCAGUUGAUCAACCCCAGAGGAAGUCACGGCUAACUUCGUGCCAGCAGCCGCGGUAAUACGAAGGUGGCAAGCGUUAUUCGGAAUCGUUGGGCUUAAAGGGCACGCAGGCGGAACAGUGUGUGUUGUGUGAAUCCCCCGGCUUAACCGGGGAAUUGCACAGCAAACUGUUGUUCUUGAGGCAGGUAGGGGUGCAUGGAACUCUUGGUGGAGCGGUGGAAUGCGUAGAUAUCAAGAGGAACGCCAGAGGUGAAGACGGUGCACUGGGCCUGUCCUGACGCUGAGGUGCGAAAGCGUGGGGAGCGAACGGGAUUAGAUACCCCGGUAGUCCACGCCGUAAACGAUGUCUACUAGGUCGUGGGUGUUCUGACACAUUCACGGCCGGAGCAAAAGUGUUUAGUAGACCGCCUGGGGAGUACGGCCGCAAGGUUAAAACUCAAAUGAAUUGACGGGGGCUCACACAAGCGGUGGAGCAUGUGGAUUAAUUCGAAGCAACGCGCAGAACCUUACCUGGGUUUGACAUGCUUGUAUGCCUUCUCUGAAAGGAGUUAGGCUGCCUUCGGGUGAAACUUGCACAGGUGCUGCAUGGCUGUCGUCAGCUCGUGUCGUGAGAUGUCGGGUUAAGUCCUUUAACGAGCGAAACCCUUGCCGUUAGUUGCCAGCGAGUAAUGUCGGGGACUCUAACGGGACUGCCGGUGUUAAACCGGAGGAAGGUGGGGAUGACGUCAAGUCCUCAUGGCCUUUAUGCCCAGGGCUUCACACGUGCUACAAUGGCAAUUACAGAGCGACGCGAUACCGCGAGGUGGAGCAAAUCGCAAAAAAAUUGCCUCAGUUCGGAUUGCAGGCUGGCAAUUCGCCUGCAUGAAGUCGGAAUCGCUAGUAAUCGCGUAUCAGCAAUGACGCGGUGAAUGUGUUCCUGAGCCUUGUACACACCGCCCGUCAAGUGAUGGAAGCCGGGAGUACCCGAAGUCGGGUUGCUAACCUUUGGGAGGCGCCUGCCGACGGUAAGUUCGGUGACUGGCACUAAGUC
rnacentral:rRNA from 1 species